UCUGUUAGUAAUAUGAUUAUGAAGCAAAAAAUUAUGGCGGUAUUUUAAGCUUCUCAGAGGAAUUUGCUCUUUAAUGGAUAAAACACCUAAAUCUUACUUGAAUUUGUUAUAACAAUUUGUAUACCACUAUAAAAACAAUUAAUAACUUUAAUUGUUAAAAUUUAUUAAAUUAAAUUAAAUUAAGUCAAGGUGCAGUAAAAAUUCAAGGAUGAAGUGAAUUACAUUGCUUUUUAGAGAAUAAAAAUUAAAUAAACGUAUAGGAUUUGAAAGUAAAAUUAAAAUAGAAUGUUAAUUUGAAUUAAGCUCUAAAAUAUGUAC
rnacentral:rRNA from 1 species